rnacentral:rRNA from 1 species
CCUGGCUUAGGAUGAACGCUAGCUACAGGCUUAACACAUGCAAGUCGAGGGGCAGCAUUGGAGUAGCAAUACUCAGAUGGCGACCGGCGCACGGGUGAGUAACACGUAUCCAACCUGCCGCUUACUCGGGGAUAGCCUUUCGAAAGAAAGAUUAAUACCCGAUGGUAUAAAGAGUUCGCAUGUUCUCUUUAUUAAAGAAUUUCGGUAAGCGAUGGGGAUGCGUUCCAUUAGAUAGUUGGCGGGGUAACGGCCCACCAAGUCUACGAUGGAUAGGGGUUCUGAGAGGAAGGUCCCCCACAUUGGAACUGAGACACGGACCAGACUCCUACGGGAGGCAGCAGUGAGGAAUAUUGGUCAAUGGGCGGGAGCCUGAACCAGCCAAGUCGCGUGAAGGAAGAAGGAUCUAUGGUUCGUAAACUUCUUUUGCAGGGGAAUAAAGUGCAGGACGUGUCCUGUUUUGUAUGUACCCUGAGAAUAAGGAUCGGCUAACUCCGUGCCAGCAGCCGC